rnacentral:rRNA from 1 species
AUUGAACGCUGGCGGCAGGCCUAACACAUGCAAGUCGAGCGGAUAAACGGAGCUUUCUCCUGUAUUCCGCGGCGGACGGGUGAGUAAUGCCUAGGAAUCUGCCUUGUCUUUGGGGCUAACGUCCGUUCACGGGCGCUAAUCCCAUAUACGUCCUUAUGUAGAACGUCGUGGAUCUUCGGACCUCGCCCUAUUUGCUGAGCCUAGGUCGGAUUAGCUAGUUGGUGUGGUAAAGUCCUACCAAGGCGACUAUCCGUAACUGGUCUGAGAGGAUGAUCAGUCACACUGGAACUGAGACGCGGUCCAGACUCCUACGGGAGGCAGCAGUGGGGAAUAUUGGACAAUGGGCGAAAGCCUGAUCCAGCAAUGCCGCGUGUGUGAAGAAGGUCUUCGGAUUGUAAAGCACUUUAAGUUGGGAGGAAGGGAAGUAAGUUAAAACCUGGCUGUUUUGACGGUACCAAAAGAAUAAGCACCGGCUAACUUCGUG